rnacentral:rRNA from 1 species
UAAGGAAUAUUGGUCAAUGGAGGAAACUCUGAACCAGCUAUCCCGCGUGAAGGAUGAAGGGGCUCUGCCUUGUAAACUUCUUUUGUCUGGGGCGAAAAAGCUCGAUUUAUCGAGAACUGACGGUACCAGAAGAAUAAGCACCGGCUAACUCCGUGCCAGCAGCCGCGGUAAUACGGAGGGUGCAAGCGUUAUCCGGAAUCACUGGGUUUAAAGGGUGCGUAGGCGGCUUAGUAAGUCAGUGGUGAAAGACUGUGGCUUAACCAUGGAAUUGCCAUUGAUACUGCUGAGCUUGAAUCAGGUUGAGGUUGGCGGAAUGUGACAUGUAGCGGUGAAAUGCUUAGAUAUGUCAUGGAACACCGAUUGCGAAGGCAGCUGACUGGACCUGUAUUGACGCUGAGGCACGAAAGCGUGGGGAGCGAACAGG